GACAGAAACUAAAUAGCAGUUCUGAGCCACAUGUUAAAGACUUAAACACUUAUUUUUCGGUUGCAAGGAAAGCUAUUAAAUUGAACAGCGGCACUUUUUUGGCUGAAGUGUUUUGCAGAAUAGGAGAAUGUGCAGGAAAAUGAUACUUUAUCUGCUCUUUGCAAAGGAAGACACAAUGCCAGCUUGAGGAUUUGGGGGCCCUUUGGGUGAGGCACUCUCAAAGAGUCUCAGCAGGUCAUUCUCUCACCCUUUCUUUAUUCUUCUUGGGUUCUCCCUGUAAAGAAAGAGUGGGAUCAUGGCAUGAUGGGUUCUUUGCCUCUUUUGAGGCCCUGGCAAAUGCCAGGCCAUAAAACCUUCUGAAGCCUGCCCUUGAAGGAAACAACCUCAUACUACAAUUAUGCCAGCCAGCCAGGUAUGAAAAAUGGAGAAGCGACAAUUGCUGUCUUUCUUCUGACAAUGCAGUUAUGGAAAGAGAGAAAAAGUGAGCAGAUUCUCCUGAAAGGAAGAUGCAGAGAAGAAGCAGGGGAGGAGACCGCACUGCUGGCAUGUUGUCUUCACUACAGUGGUACCUUGGGUUACAAACACUUCAGGUUACAGAUGCUUCAGGUAACAGACUCCGCUAACCCAGAAAUAUUACCUCAGGUUAAGAACUUUGCUUCAGAAUGAGAACAGA
rnacentral:lncRNA from 1 species